GACGUAGGGCGCAAGCGUUGUCCGGAUUUAUUGGGCGUAAAGAGCUCGUAGGCGGCUUGUUGCGUCGACCGUGAAAGCCCGUGGCUCAACUGCGGGCUUGCGGUCGAUACGGGCGGGCUAGAGUUCGGUAGGGGAGACUGGAAUUCCUGGUGUAGCGGUGAAAUGCGCAGAUAUCAGGAGGAACACCGGUGGCGAAGGCGGGUCUCUGGGCCGAUACUGACGCUGAGGAGCGAAAGCGUGGGGAGCGAACAGG
rnacentral:rRNA from 1 species